GACGAACGCUGGCGGCGUGCUUAACACAUGCAAGUCGAACGGAAAGGCCCUGCUUGCAGGGUACUCGUGUGGCGAACGGGUGAGUAACACGUGGGUGAUCUGCCCUGCACUUCGGGAUAAGCUUGUUCAACUGGGUCUAAUACCUGCUAGGUACUAUCUUUAGUGUGGUGGUUGGAAAGUUUUUGCGGUGUAUGAUGAGCUCGCGGACUAUCAGCUUGUUGGUGGGGUAAUGGCAUACCAAGGCGGCGACGGGUAGCCGGCCUGAGAGGGUGUACGGACAGAUUGGGACUGAGAGACGGGCCAGAGUAGUAUGGGAGGCAGCAGUGGGGAAUAUUGGACAAUGGGAGCAAGCCUGAUGCAGCGACGCCGCGUGGGGGAUGAAGGCCGUCGGGUGGGAAACUCAUUUCGCUAGGGAAGAAGCUAUGUUGUGACGGUACCUAGAUAAGAAGCACCGGCUAACUACGUG
rnacentral:rRNA from 1 species